rfam:Phycicoccus sp. Root563 contig_1, whole genome shotgun sequence.
GCACGUGCUCCGGGGUCGGUGCAAUUCCGAACCGGCGGUGACAGUCCGCGACCCGGCCGCAGCCAGCGGCCGGUUGACCUGGUGGAACUCCAGGACCGACGGUGAAAGUCCGGAUGGUAGGCAGCACGCAA